UGACAAAUCUAUUUAUGACUAUCUGCAAUC
rnacentral:sRNA from 1 species